CCCUCGGGGCCCAACCUCCCACCCGUGUUGCCCGAACCUAUGUUGCCUCGGCGGGCCCCGCGCCCGCCGACGGCCCCCCUGAACGGUGUCUGAAGUUGCAGUCUGAGACCUAUAACGAAAUUAUUUAAAACUUUCAACAACGGAUCUCUUGGUUCCGGCAUCGAUGAAGAACGCAGCGAAAUGCGAUAACUAAUGUGAAUUGCAGAAUUCAGUGAAUCAUCGAGUCUUUGAACGCACAUUGCGCCCUCUGGUAUUCCGGAGGGCAUGCCUGUCCGAGCGUCAUUGCUGCCCUCAAGCCCGGCUUGUGUGUUGGGCCCCGUCCCCCCCGCCGGGGGGACGGGCCCGAAAGGGAGCGGCGGCACCGCGUCCGGUCCUCGAGCGUAUGGGGCUUCGUCACCCGCUCUAGUAGGGCCGGCCGGCGCCAGCCGACCCCCAACCUUUAAUUAUCUCAGGUUGACCUCGGAUCAGGGAGGGAUACCCGC
rnacentral:rRNA from 1 species